CUGGGAUACAAGUCACUGAAGAUGAAGUACAGAAAUUCAGAGAGAAUGAGGUGGAUGGAGAAACAAUAGAGUGUGGCCUCACUGAGAACAUGAUAUCAUACUUAUUUGAAGGUUCAUUUAAAAAACAGGCCAAAUUCAACAAAUUAAUACGGGAGAUGAAGGAGGUGGUAACGAUAACUCUAGAACCAGUGCCACCAGAAUGCUAUCAGCAGCUUUCAACUACAGAAAUCAUACUUGGCACCAAUCCCUCAAGCGAAAAUUCAAAGCAGAGCGUGCACCUCUGGUUCUUGAUGAAGAGGUAAGAAAGGAGAAGUUUGGGCACAAGAGAGUGAGACUAUCGGAAGAAACUUCA